CGGGGUGUAGCUCAGCCUGGUAGAGCGCUGGUUUUGGGAGCCAGAAGCCGGAGGUUCGAAUCCUCUCGCCCCGACCA
rnacentral:tRNA from 1 species